rnacentral:rRNA from 1 species
GACGUAGGGCGCGAGCGUUGUCCGGAUUUAUUGGGCGUAAGGAGCUCGUAGGCGGCUUGUCGCGUCGAAUGUGAAAUUUUAGGGCUCAACCCUGACAUUGCAUUCGAUACGGGCAGGCUUGAGUUCGGUAGGGGAGACUGGAAUUCCUGGUGUAGCGGUGAAAUGCGCAGAUAUCAGGAGGAACACCGGUGGCGAAGGCGGGUCUCUGGGCCGAUACUGACGCUGAGGUGCGAAAGCGUGGGGAGCAAACAGG